UAAAAGACAACUGAUCAACUCCAUUGUAGUCUGUUUGAUUGGAUUUAGGGAUUUUAAUUACAGUAACUUUUCUUUUAAGGUGAACGGAACUGCCUGUGCUGUACCAAGAUUGAUAAUGAAUAUACUGGAAACAAAUCAAACAGCAGUAAGUGCUAGUAAUACUAGUAGUAUCAUUUUAGUAUAAUCAGUUUUUCUCAAAAACAGACUUUAUUAGUAUGCUAUUUUAAAUUGCUAUUCUUAAGGUGGUACCUAACACUACAGGGAGGUAACUCUGUAAAGUCAGCUAAACAUUUAAAUUAUGUUGUGUUGUAAAGGGAACAUUAAGCUUCUCAAUGAUCAAAAUUGGUGUUUGUCAAACUGCUAUAUAACCAGUGUACUUUUUCUGACAAAACGGUUGGUUCAAAAUUUUUGAUUUUUUUAUAUUUUUGUUGAAGGGUCAAAGUAAAUACAUUGUCAAAAUUUAAUGAAAAUUAACCGAGCCAAAUUAAUUUUAGGGAAAGUGUUGGGUACCACCUUAAUGAAUUGCAAUUGUAUUUUCUCUUUUGAAUUAUGAUAUACAUUGUUUGAGAAACUAUAAAAGAUUUAACCACUCUCAAGCUCAUAAUACAAGGUUGUCCAAAUAAAUAUAGCAAUGUUCUUUGAUUUGACCAUUAGUUCCAUUUUUUAAACAUCUUGAAACUUUCAAAUAGAAAACAAAAAAGAUAUAUAGGUUCAAUUAUCAUUAGGUUAAAACUGUUGAUCUUAACUGCUGGUUAAGUUCAAAGCAAUACAUUGCAUAAUCUUACUUUGUGAUUUGUUUUAUAGGAUGGAGAUGUUCUCAUUCCAACAGUAUUACAGCCUUAUAUGGAUGGGAAAGAAAAACUGACAAAAAUAGACAAAAGAAUAAAAUUCAUACCAGCUAAUAAAAUACACAGGAUGAUACAAAAAUAAAUAUAGAAAAACUCAAUUUUAUUUGAUUAGUGUAUAUAAGAUUUUUCUUAUCCCCAGGC
rnacentral:lncRNA from 1 species